CGCAUAACGUCGCAAGACCAAAGAGGGGGACCUUCGGGCCUCUUGCCAUCGGAUGUGCCCAGAUGGGAUUAGCUAGUAGGUGGGGUAAAGGCUCACCUAGGCGACGAUCCCUAGCUGGUCUGAGAGGAUGACCAGCCACACUGGAACUGAGACACGGUCCAGACUCCUACGGGAGGCAGCAGUGGGGAAUAUUGCACAAUGGGCGCAAGCCUGAUGCAGCCAUGCCGCGUGUAUGAAGAAGGCCUUCGGGUUGUAAAGUACUUUCAGCGGGGAGGAAGGGAGUAAAGUUAAUACCUUUGCUCAUUGACGUUACCCGCAGAAGAAGCACCGGCUAACUCCGUGCCAGCAGCCGCGGUAAUACGGAGGGUGCAAGCGUUAAUCGGAAUUACUGGGCGUAAAGCGCACGCAGGCGGUUUGUUAAGUCAGAUGUGAAAUCCCCGGGCUCAACCUGGGAACUGCAUCUGAUACUGGCAAGCUUGAGUCUCGUAGAGGGGGGUAGAAUUCCAGGUGUAGCGGUGAAAUGCGUAGAGAUCUGGAGGAAUACCGGUGGCGAAGGCGGCCCCUGGACGAAGACUGACGCUCAGGUGCGAAAGCGUGGGGAGCAAACAGGAUUAGUACCCUGGUAGUCCACGCCGUAAACGAUGUCGACUUGGAGGUUGUGCCCUUGAGGCGUGGCUUCCGGAGCUAACGCGUUAAGUCGACCGCCUGGGGAGUACGGCCGCAAGGUUAAAACUCAAAUGAAUUGACGGGGGCCCGCACAAGCGGUGGAGCAUGUGGUUUAAUUCGAUGCAACGCGAAGAACCUUACCUGGUCUUGACAUCCACGGAAGUUUUCAGAGAUGAGAAUGUGCCUUCGGGAACCGUGAGACAGGUGCUGCAUGGCUGUCGUCAGCUCGUGUUGUGAAAUGUUGGGUUAAGUCCCGCAACGAGCGCAACCCUUAUCCUUUGUUGCCAGCGGUCCGGCCGGGAACUCAAAGGAGACUGCCAGUGAUAAACUGGAGGAAGGUGGGGAUGACGUCAAGUCAUCAUGGCCCUUACGACCAGGGCUACACACGUGCUACAAUGGCGCAUACAAAGAGAAGCGACCUCGCGAGAGCAAGCGGACCUCAUAAAGUGCGUCGUAGUCCGGAUUGGAGUCUGCAACUCGACUCCAUGAAGUCGGAAUCGCUAGUAAUCGUGGAUCAGAAUGCCACGGUGAAUACGUUCCCGGGCCUUGUACACACCGCCCGUCACACCAUGGGAGUGGGUUGCAAAAGAAGUAGGUAGCUUAACCUUCGGGAGGGCGCUUACCACUUUGUGAUUCAUGACUGGGGUGAGUCGUACAGU
rnacentral:rRNA from 1 species